UGAGGAACAUGACUUUCGGCGGGGGAUAGCCGGCCCAACGGCCGGGUAAUACCGCGUACGACCUUUUGGGGACAUCCCCGAUUGGUGAAAGCAGCAAUGCGCCGAAAGAGUGCCUCGCGGCCUAUCAGCUAGUUGGUGGGGUAAUGGCUCACCAAGGCGAUGACGGGUAGCUGGUCUGAGAGGAUGGCCAGCCACAUUGGGACUGAGACACGGCCCAGACUCCGUACGGGAGGNAGCG
rnacentral:rRNA from 1 species